GACGAACGCUGGCGGCGUGCUUAACACAUGCAAGUCGAGCGGUAAGGCCCUUUCGGGGGUACACGAGCGGCGAACGGGUGAGUAACACGUGGGUGACCUGCCCUCAGCUCUGGGAUAAGCCUGGGAAACUGGGUCUAAUACCGGAUAUGACUCCAUGACGCAUGUUGUGGGGUGGAAAGCCUUGUGCGGCUGAGGAUGGGCCCGCGGCCUAUCAGCUUGUUGGUGGGGUGANGGCCUACCAAGGCGACGACGGGUAGCCGGCCUGAGAGGGCGACCGGCCACACUGGGACUGAGACACGGCCCAGACUCCUACGGGAGGCAGCAGUGGGGAAUCUUGCGCAAUGGGCGAAAGCCUGACGCAGCGACGCCGCGUGAGGGAUGACGGCCUGGUGUAACUAC
rnacentral:rRNA from 1 species